rfam:Ipomoea nil DNA, scaffold: scaffold2283, cultivar: Tokyo-kokei standard.
GUGGGUAUGCCUGAGUGUUUAUUGGGCAUAAGUAGAAAUCAUGUGGACUUUGCUCGCGCAAGUUCGAAUCAUGCUGCUCACG